AGUGAACGCUGGCGGCAGGCCUAACACAUGCAAGUCGAACGGCAGCACAAGAGAGCUUGCUCUCUGGGUGGCGAGUGGCGGACGGGUGAGGAAUACGUCGGAAUCUGCCUAUUUGUGGGGGAUAACGUAGGGAAACUUACGCUAAUACCGCAUACGACCUACGGGUGAAAGCGGAGGACCUUCGGGCCUCGCGCAGAUAGAUGAGGCGACGUCGGAUUAGCAAGUUGGCGGGGUAAAGGCCCACCAAGGCGACGAUCCGUAGCUGGUCUGAGAGGAUGAUCAGCCACACUGGAACUGAGACACGGUCCAGACUCCUACGGGAGGCAGCAGUGGGGAAUAUUGGACAAUGGGCGCAAGCCUGAUCCAGCCAUGCCGCGUGGGUGAAGAAGGCCUUCGGGUUGUAAAGCCCUUUUGUUGGGAAAGAAAAGCAGCCGGUUAAUACCCGGUUGUCAUGACGGUACCCAAAGAAUAAGCACCGGCUAACUUCGUGCCAGCAGCCGCCGUAACAC
rnacentral:rRNA from 1 species